GGGCUGGGAAAGACCGGUGCCAGCCGCCGCGGUAAUACCGGCAGCUCAAGUGGUCGUCGCUUUUAUUGGGCCUAAAACGUCCGUAGCCUGUUUGGUAAAUCUGUGGGUAAAUCAACCAGCUUAACUGGUUGAAUUCUGCAGAGACUGCCAGACUAGGGACCGGGAGAGGUGUGGGGUACUCUAGGGGUAGGGGUAAAAUCCUGUCAUCCUUAGAGGACCACCAGUUGCGAAGGCGCCACACUGGAACAGAUCCGACGGUCAGGGACAAAGCCUAGGGGCACGAACCGGAUUAGAUACCCGGGUAGUCCUAGGUGUAAACGCUGUGAACUUGGUGUCGGGAAUCCGCAAUGGGCCCCCGGUGCCGGAGUGAAGAUGUUAAGUUCACUGCCUGGGGAGUACGGUCGCAAGGCUGAAACUUAAAGGAAUUGGCCGGGGGGAGCAC
rnacentral:rRNA from 1 species